rnacentral:rRNA from 1 species
CCUACGGGAGGCAGCAGUAGGGAAUAUUGCUCAAUGGGGGAAACCCUGAAGCAGCAAAGUCGCGUGGGGGAUGAAGGUCCUAGGAUUGUUAACUCUCUUUGUCAGAGAAGAAAAUGCCGGUAUCACACGAAUACGCAACAGUUAACUCCGUGAAAGCAGCCGCGGUAAUCCGGAGGGCGGACGCGUUACUCGGAAUAACUGGGCGUAAAGCGUGCGCAGGCGGGUUUGUAAGUCAGAUGUGAAAUCCUGUAGCUUAACUACAGAACUGCAGUUGAAAAUAUGAGUCUAGAGUGUGGGAGAGGUAGGUGGAAUUCGUGGUGUAGCGGUAAAAUGCGUAGAUAUCAAGAAGAAUACUGAUUGCGAAGGCGGCCUACCGGAACAUUACUGACGCUCAUGCACGAAAGCGUGGGGAGCGAACAGGAUUAGAUACCCUUGUAGUC